AUGGAAACCAAGGCCGCCGGCGAGGAGAAUGCACGCGGUGAUACCGACGAUGCCGCUGCCGCCGAAGAAGAAGAAGAAGCUGGCGAGGGGUCCGGCGAUCGCACUGACGGCCCUGAGACCGCAGGAGCACCAGGCGCUACGCCGACCGUCGAUCCCUCCGCCGCUGCUGCAGCGCCAGGCUCCGAAGAGCCACAGCUCGGCGCCUAUUUGAAGGCCGGCGAUGGCAUCUUCAUCAAGCUCCCCUGGGCGUCGAGCUCCAGGGCGCCGGUUGAAGGAGAAAUCUUGGAUGGAGAAGUGCUUGCCUCCGCUGGGCUGACGCUUGUCGACGCGCCGAGCAGCAGCAGCGACGAGCCUGAGGAGGAGCGGCUGCUGCGGAGGCUGAUGUCGCUCUACUGUGCCCGACAGGCCAAGCUGGAUUCCCGGGAAGCGCUUGUCGCGAAGGCGGGAGUGGAUAUCGAGAAGCACGCGGAGGAGCUCCGGGGUCUUCGCCAGGAAGCUCUCCGGUCCCUGGCAUAG
rnacentral:rRNA from 1 species